rnacentral:rRNA from 1 species
UACGGGGGGGGUAAGCGUUGUUCGGAAUUACUGGGCGUAAAGGGCUCGUAGGCGGCCAACUAAGUCAGACGUGAAAUCCCUCAGCUUAACUGGGGAACUGCGUCUGAUACUGGAUGGCUUGGAUUCGGGAGAGGAAUGCGGAAUUCCAGGUGUAGCGGUGAAAUGCGUAGAUAUCUGGAGGAACACCGGUGGCGAAGGCGGUCUGCUGGGCAGUUUCUGACACUGAGGCGCGACAGCGUGGGGAGCAAACAGG